CUUGGUCAUUUAGAGGAAGUAAAAGUCGUAACAAGGUCUCCGUAGGUGAACUUGCGGAGGGAUCAUUACAAGUGACCCCGGUCUAACCACCGGGAUGUUCAUAACCCUUUGUUGUCCGACUCUGUUGCCUCCGGGGCGACCCUGCCUUCGGGCGGGGGCUCCGGGUGGACACUUCAAGCUCUUGCGUAACUUUGCAGUCUGAGUAAACUUAAUUAAUAAAUUAAAACUUUUAACAACGGAUCCCUUGGUUCUGGCAUCGAUGAAGAACGCAGCGAAAUGCGAUAAGUAAUGUGAACUGCAGAAUUCAGUGAAUCAUCGAAUCUUUGAACGCACAUUGCGCCUCCUGGUAUUCCGGGGGGCAUGCCUGUUCGAGCGUCAUUUCAACCCUCAAGCCCAGCUUGGUGUUGGGACUCGCGAGUCAAAUCGCGUUCCCCAAAUUGGUUGGCGGUCACGUCGAGCUUCCAUAGUGUAGUAGUAAAACCCUCGUUACUGGUAAUCGUCGCGGCCACGCCGUUAAACACCAACUUCUGAAUGUUGACCUCGGAUCAGGUAGGAAUACCCGCUGAACUUAAGCAUAUCAAUAAGCGGAGGA
rnacentral:rRNA from 1 species